rnacentral:miRNA from 1 species
CAGCAGACACAUUCCAGCCAAUCAGCAGCAGACCCUCCCUCCCAGACCCUCCCACCUCCUGGACAGCAUCCGUUUUACAUUCAUUGUGAAGCUGCAUUCUUAGUGAGCUGUCCAGGAGGUGGAAGGGUCUGGGAGGGAGGGUCUGCUGCUGAUUGGCUGGAAUGUGUCUGCUG